rnacentral:rRNA from 1 species
CGUCUAUAUACGUAUAGCAUAUCAAUAAGCGGAGGAAAAGAAACUAACUAGGAUUCCCUCAGUAACGGCGAGUGAAGCGGGAAGAGCUCAAAUUUGAAAUCUUCAAGGUUCUACCUUGACGAAUUGUAGUUUAAAGAAGUGUUUUCUGUUGGAGUUUUGGUAAAAGUUCUUUGGAAUAGGACAUCAUAGAGGGUGAGAAUCCCGUAUUUGACCAUUAUUUCCAACUUUGUGAUACACUUUCAAAGAGUCGGAUUGUUUGGGAAUACAGUCCAAAAUGGGUGGUAAAUUUCAUCUAAAGCUAAAUACUGGCGAGAGACCGAUAGCGAACAAGUACCGUGAGGGAAAGAUGAAAAGAACUUUGAAAAGAGAGUUAAACAGUACGUGAAAUUGUCAAAAGGGAAGCGUUUGACACCAGUGUUGUUUUCUCGAAAAUCAAUUAAAAAUGAUUGGAUUUUGUGUUGUAUUGACUUCAUCAGCUUUCUGCACUCUUUUCUUGUCUUUUUUAAUGCACUUUUCGUUUAACAAGUCAACAUCAAUUUCUUUUGCUGUAAAAGGAGUCAUUGGAAGGUGGCUUUCUUUUCGGAGAAAGUGUUUAUAGCCUUUGACUUCUGCAAUCGGAGAGAUUGAGGUCUGCAGCGUAGAUCCUUCGGGGUUAGAUGCAUUUGUGCUAAGUUAUAGCCUUUCAUAGACAACUUGUUGACUAUGAUCAGUCAUGUAGCUUACUCGCUUAUGUUAUUUUACCUACGCUUAGGAUGUUGAUCUGUAGUGCGUGCGC